rnacentral:misc_RNA from 1 species
CCAACUAAGGGGAGAUAAUGGCAUUUUCAAAAAUCUUCCAUAUAAUCUCAGAAUACAGAAUCAAUCACUACCAAAAUUGAGAAAUAAAUCAAUAACAAUACACAGUAAUAAAAAGCUGCACCAUGGAAAGGUACAAGCUUCAAGCCAAAGAAGAUACUUCAAUACAGUAGACUUGGAGCAAUUCUUUAUGGUUUUGAUGGGGUUGGAGAAGAUGGAGGUUUCAAAUCUGGGUAAUU